rnacentral:rRNA from 1 species
GAUGAACGCUAGCGGGAGGCCUAAUACAUGCAAGUCGAACGGUAACAGGGUAGCAAUAUCGCUGACGAGUGGCGCACGGGUGAGUAACACGUACACAAUCUGCCUUAUACUGGAGCAUACCCCCAAGAAAUUGGGAUUAAUUCUCCAUAAUAUAUUGAAGAGGCAUCUCUUUGAUAUUAGAACUCCGGUGGUAUAAGAUGAGUGUGCGUCUGAUUAGCGAGUUGGUGAGGUAACGGCUCACCAAGGCAACGAUCAGUAACUGGUCUGAGAGGAUGAUCAGGCACACGGACACUGAGACCCGGGUCCGACUCCUGCGGGAGGCAGCAGUAGGGAAGAUUGGACAAUGGGCGCAAGCCUGAUCCAGCCAUCCCGCGUGAAGGAUUAAGGCCCUCUGGGUUGUAAACUUCUUUUCUCUGGGAAUAAAAACCGGUAUUCAUAUCGGCUUGAAGGUACCAGAGGAAUAAGCACCGGCUAACUCCGUGCCAGCCGCCGCCGUAACAC